GCCUUCUUAGCUCAGGGGCAGAGCGUUGCACUCGUAUGUGUUUAGACAAAUAGUCUGCAUACAGAUUAAUGCAAAGGUCGUCAGUUCAAUUCUGGCAGCAGGCA
rnacentral:tRNA from 1 species